rnacentral:miRNA from 10 species
ACAGAGAAUAGUAUUGGUUGAUGCAAAAGUAAUUGUGUUUUUUUGCCAUUUGAAAGUAAUGGCAAAAACCACAAUUGCUUUUGCACCAACCUAAUAUAA